UACGCAGGGGGCUAGCGUUGCUCGGAAUCACUGGGCGUAAAGCGCACGUAGGCGGAUUGCUAAGUCGGGGGUGAAAUCCUGGAGCUCAACUCCAGAACUGCCUUCGAUACUGGCGAUCUUGAGUCCGGGAGAGGUGAGUGGAACUCCGAGUGUAGAGGUGAAAUUCGUAGAUAUUCGGAAGAACACCAGUGGCGAAGGCGGCUCACUGGCCCGGUACUGACGCUGAGGUGCGAAAGCGUGGGGAGCAAACAGG
rnacentral:rRNA from 1 species